AACAGGGUCAUUAUUUUCUAUAACUACAGAAUUAUCAAAAUCAGGAAAUUAACAUUGAUAAAAUACUGUUGUGUGAUACACAGUUCAUACCGAAGUUUCAUCAGUUGUCCCUUAAUGUCCAACAUGGGUCACUGGACAUAAUACAUCGAGGACAGAGUCUCAUUCUUGUGAUAUUUCUGCCCAAAAUGCUGUCAUGUAGAAACGAGACAAAUCCAAGAUGAGGGAAAAACCUACAAAAUAAACUUUUUUUCCCCGCCCGAGA
rnacentral:lncRNA from 1 species